GAUUACAUUUUUGAGCUGUUUUGCAGAAUUUAAACCCCCUCAGGUGCUCAACCACUAGAUCAAUUGGAACCAAAGGGAUGACGAUGUUGACCUUUUCUGACCCUCCUGACUCCAGUCAACUAAAGCGUGGACUCUGUUGACCUUUGCCUGAAUUCUAUGCUCAAUCCUUCUCAGCUCAAGCUCCUUCAUGAACAUGCAGGAUCUAGAUCUAUUCCAAACUUGUGGAAUUAAUUAGAUAAUUAAGAGGAACCUCAGAACUACGAGGAAUGAUCAAAGAAGGCAUCUGACACAUCCUACAAAGAAAAGGAGGAUUCCCAAAGAUAUGAAAGAAAAAAAGGCGUGAAGUGGAUGGGCUGCUACACUGCCGAGAUCCCCACUUCAGGACUUAAUUCACCCGCUUGCUGGGAGUGAAAUGAGCUGACAGACCUCACAUCAGUGUCUCUCCGGAGAUCACCUCAUCUGAAGAGAGCUGCCCUACCGAAGACCAUACGCCCUUCCCUCCAAGGACUGGUUACAACGGGGGAAUGAAAGCCCCAACAUUGGACGACCUAGAAGAGCCAUCUCAGCUUCAGAGCAUCCUGGAGGGUUGAUUGGGGACUUCUUAAAACGGCAUCCUUCCCUUCUUGUAAGUAUUGGUUCCGACACCAUUCCUUAACAAACCUCUCAAAUGCUCAUCUCCACCCAGAGUCUGCG